CGACAACGACACGUACGGAGGAAGGGCGGGGGCUCUCGGUCGAGAGCCCCCGCCCUUCCUCCGUAUCAGCGGUGUCGGCGGGC
rnacentral:pre_miRNA from 1 species